UACGUAGGUGACCAGCGUUGUCCGGAUUUACUGGGCGUAAAGAGCGCGCAGGCGGUCGGUCAAGUCGAGUGUGAAAGCCCCCGGCUCAACUGGGGAGGGUCAUUCGAUACUGAUCGACUCGAAGGCAGGAGAGGGUAGUGGAAUUCCCGGUGUAGUGGUGAAAUGCGUAGAUAUCUGGAGGAACACCGGUGGCGAAGGCGACAUCCUGGACCGGUAUUGACGCUGAGGCGCGAAAGCCAGGGGAGCAAACGGG
rnacentral:rRNA from 1 species